UUACUUUGCUGAAAGUAAAGAAACUCUGCUGAAGAAUGGUGGAAUAUCCUAAACUGGUUUUGAAGACAUCUCUGGUUACACGUGUACAGACACAUGAAUCGUAUCUCUAAAUAGCUCUGAUUAGACUGUGUGGAAAUGCCUCAGAGAUGCCUUCUUCCUUUCCCACAAUAACUUUCCAGAAGACAGAACAUCUUGCUGUCUGGACACGUUAAACCUUUGGAUGAGAAUAGGUUGGCAAGAUCCAGAAGAAAAUGAACUGGCCAAAACUCUGAAUGAUAUUCCAGCUUUCCCUCCAUUAUGAUGUCUGGUUGAUGAUUCAAUACUGCCAUUUAAGAGCCUUAGAGGAAAGGAAUCCUUUACCUUUCUCUCCCACCAUAAUCCCGCAAGAGUGAGGGCAUGUGCACAACACCCCACCCAGGCAGUGACUUCUGAUCCACCCUAAACCACUGAAACGAAUAGUAUGCAACCCCCAUGUGAAACAGUUUGGAGCCUGUUUUCUCCUAAUGUAUUGGAAUAUCCCUGUAUCAGGCAAACCCAAAUUUUAGGGGGAAAGCAUUGAAACUGGUGUUGUUGCAGGUUAACAUCAUGUGAACUACACAAUUUAAAUAGAAAUGAAAAAAGUCUAAUACUGGAUUGGGCAAGGCAUCUAUGACAUACGUCCCUUACCCUUUUACUAGAUAGAUAGAU